rnacentral:lncRNA from 1 species
CUGGAAACAGUUGCUGCCUGCGGAUCUUAUCCAUGGGAUCAGCUUGGAAGAAGUUGGGGGUUGUGUUUGUAAUCUGUUGUUACCAGAAGUCGAGCUUCUGGGAAGAAAUAAAGGGAUCAUAGGUUGUGAUUUGCUCUUCUGCAUUUUUAGUCUUAACUUCUUCUUUUCUUCCUGUAUCUUUGAGGGCUCUGGAUUUUGAAUCCACACCAGAGGGCCUACUUUCAAGGGGCCAAGAGGAGUCUGGGAACACUCUUGCUGGUUGGAUUGGUGACUAGUGGCUGGGCUCCAACAGCUCUGCAAACAGUAAGGCUAUUUUCUGUGCCUCCCUGUCUCAGGCCCUGCGGUCAGCCCAGUGUGGACUCAGAGGUUCAGAUUCAUGUGUGGGGUUCUUCCGGUCUGCCCAGAAGUACUCUGAACACCCCAAACAAGCAAACAUCUCAGCUCCAGGUCUGAGGAGGGGAUUGUCUUUGAAGUGGUUCAAUUAAGGAACUCUUCUCGCUUGUUCACUCGAUGCCAGCCCCGUGUGCCAGAUGUUGUACUGAAGUCCUGUACUUUUCAAGCUGGUGAGUCGGCUCUGGACACAGCAGGAGCUGCUGUCAACGGAGGAACCCACAGCAUCUCCCAGGGCGAAAGAGGUCACUUCUCCUCCACCGAAUCACAUUUGACACCAUUCCAGUCAGCCUUGCAAUUGGGAGGUUUCUGAACUUGGAAUGGUAUUUCCAAUAUUGAU